rnacentral:rRNA from 1 species
UGCGGAAGGAUCAUUACCGAAUUGUCAACAGGAGUUGCUGCUGGCCUCCACACGUGGGGGCAUGUGCACGCUCUGUUUACACAUCCACUCACACCUGUGCACCCUCUGUAGUUCUGUGGCCUGGGGGCUCUGCCCUCCUGCUGUGGUUCUAUGUCUUUACACACACACUGUAAUGAAGUCUCAUGGAAUGCAUGUCGCGUUUAACGCAAUGAAAUACAACUUUCAGCAACGGAUCUCUUGGCUCUCGCAUCGAUGAAGAACGCAGCGAAAUGCGAUAAGUAAUGUGAAUUGCAGAAUUCAGUGAAUCAUCGAAUCUUUGAACGCACCUUGCGCCCUUUGGCUAUUCCGAAGGGCAUGCCUGUUUGAGUAUCAUGAACACCUCAACUCUCANGGCUUGCNGUGAUGAGCUUGGACUUUGGGGGUCUUGCCGGCCUGUGGUCGGCUCCUCUCAAAUNAAUCAGCUUUCCAGUGUUUGGUGGCNUCACAGGUGUGAUAACUAUCUACGCUUGUGGUUUUCCCACCAAGUUACCUUUGGCAACAGAGGUUCACUGGAGCUCAUAAACGGUCCCUCCUUGGCGGGGACGGCUCUUUGACCGUUUGAUCUCAAAUCAGGUAGGACUACCCGCUGAACUUAAGCAUAU